rnacentral:misc_RNA from 1 species
UCAGCAUUACCAGACGUUAUUCUCUUAAACUCCCUCUUCAACUUAUUCAGAUCAGACUUAUAUUCCCUUAAUUUGGCAAGGAGCAUAGCCUUCACAUUCGGCUGUAGACUUCUCGCCUCAAGGUCCAUUUUCCGAAUCAACACAUCACAAUCAUCCAGUCCAGAUUUUAUCUCGGAGAUCUUCACCUUCUUCUCCUCUCCAUCGGAAAGAAGAGAAGUGGAGUUGCAUUUACGGGAGAGAUUUGCAGAGAGUUCGCAGUACUGGCGCUCGUAUCCUUCGAAGACAUCACUCAUGAUUGCUGAGGAAGAUGAGGAUUGAGAAGAUGUUCGAUUAGAGCAGAGAGGCCAAGUGAGUGCCCAGAGAAAUGAACGGAUGUAAAAUGCCAACCAACGCAACCGUAAAUACUUUAGAAAUGGAUGACUUCGGACAGC